rnacentral:rRNA from 1 species
UACAGAGGUCUCAAGCGUUGUUCGGAUUCAUUGGGCGUAAAGGGUGCGUAGGUGGCAGGGUAAGUCGGAUGUGAAAUCCCGGGGCUCAACCUCGGAACUGCAUUCGAUACUGCUUUGCUGGAGUACUGGAGAGGAGAUUGGAAUUUACGGUGUAGCAGUGAAAUGCGUAGAUAUCGUAAGGAAGACCAGUGGCGAAAGCACUCUGCUGGGCCGACACUGACACUGAGAGACGAAAGCUAGGGGAGCGAAUGGG